AGAACGAACGCUGGCGGCAUGCCUAAUACAUGCAAGUCGAACGAACACUUCGGUGUUAGUGGCGCACGGGUGCGUAACGCGUGGGAAUCUGCCCUUGGGUUCGGAAUAACAGUUGGAAACGACUGCUAAUACCGGAUGAUAUCGAAAGAUCAAAGAUUUAUCGCCCAGGGAUGAGCCCGCGUAGGAUUAGCUAGUUGGUGAGGUAAAGGCUCACCAAGGCGACGAUCCUUAGCUGGUCUGAGAGGAUGAUCAGCCACACUGGGACUGAGACACGGCCCAGACUCCGUACGGGA
rnacentral:rRNA from 1 species